GGACCUCCAUAGGCCGCAGGUACAGACCUAAAAUAAAAAAUUAAUUUCACAAGACAUCUUGCUGGUGACGCCAUCUUAAGUUGGGCAUUCUGUUAAGAUCAAAGUCUUUCUAAAUGAGAUGAUUGACAUUUUCCAAAAAAAUUUGUAAAUGAUUAUCCCCUGGAAGAAUGGGUCAUGGCAAAAUAAAAUGAAUUGACAUGAUCAGAUUACUCCCCCAAUAACAGCUGGCAUGUAGUGUUGAUUCCGUGCCAGGCACUGCUCUAAACACCUUUCCCAAAAACGUCACUGGGGUCUCAGUGACAUGAAAAAAGCUGCACAUAUUUCGUGUAUACAGCCUGACUCUGAGCACCUGUGAUUUGCUUUCUCGUUUGACUCUCCCAACAGCCCUGUCGUUACCCUCCCAUUUUGCAGCCCAAGUGCAGAAAGGUGAAAGUGGGGGCCCUGAGAGCUGAACUCCAGGGAUCCAGCCUCCAACCCUAUGAUCUUAACCACGGCGCUGGACUUCCUGGAAAAAUACGCUGUGACAGCGGAACGUUGCGUUAACUCCAGAAAUUUUAAUUCAUCCAGCCCAUGAUAAAAGCCUAGAGGAUUUUUUUCCCUUCGAUUUCUCAGGUCUGUGGAAGAGGGCCACAAAUCUUAUUUAGCAGAAAUCUAGGAAAAAGAAACAGAACAGCAUGUACCCUAUUUAUUGAGACUAGAUGACCUUCGGUUGCAGUGUUGACCAAUAGCACGCAUUCUACUCCCCUGCUCUGCAGAUCUCAUGCCUCUCAUAAAAUUAGUAUUUAAUGGAUUUUUUUAAAUAAGUGAAUUUAGGGAAUUCCCACUGUUGCACAGUGGGUUAAGGAUGCAGCAUUAUCUGUGGCGGUGCGGGUAGCUUAAGGACCCAGUUAAGGAUCCAUAGGUUGCCACAGCUGUGGCUCGGAUUUAUCCCCAGCCAGGAACUUCCAUGUGCUGCAGGUGCAGCCAAAAAAAAGAAAAUGAGGAGUUCCCGCUGUGGCGCAGUGGUUAACGAAUCCGACUAGGAACCAUGAGGUUGCGGGUUCCAUCCCUGGCCUUGCUCAUCGUGUUUGUUAACUGUUGAGCCACAAAGGGAACUCCCCACUGAGCUUUUUUUUUUUUUUUUUUUUUUUUUGCCACACCUGCAGCAUGUGGCAGUUCCAGGGCCAGGGAUUGAACCCACAACCACAGCUGCAACCUGAGCCACAGGAAUGACCACCAGAUCUGCUGCACCACCAGGGAAUUCCCCAUUGGCCUCUUUUAAUACUCACUGUUUUAUGAUCACUUGUUUUCAUGUCUGGCUUUUCCACUAGACUAUGGGCAAGACAAGAAUCAAGUCUUCACUCGUGUUUAACUCUUUAAAUCAUCUUUAUUGAGGUGUAAUUUACAUACAAUAAAAUAAAUCCUCUUUUUUUUUUUUUUUUU
rnacentral:lncRNA from 1 species